rnacentral:sRNA from 1 species
GUUUGCUGCUGGAGCCGCGGCGUUCUCCUCGGGCCCGGACUCCGCGGGCGCAGCUGUCCCGACGCUGAGCUGGGGACCCGUGGGGUUCUCGGAGAGGGGCAGAGACCCAAGGUCACAGAGGCGACGUUGUGGACGUUUACCAGCGGGAGUUCCUGGCGCUGCGCGAUCGCUUGCACGCAGCUGAGCAGGAGAGCCUCAAGCGCUCCAAGGAGCUCAACCUGGUGCUGGACGAGAUCAAGAGGGCCGUGUCAGAAAGGCAGGCGCUGCGAGACGGAGACGGCAAUCGCACCUGGGGCCGCCUAACAGGUGAGGUCUGGGGCGGGCGGGGGAAAAGGCGGGGGCGGGCUGGUUGUUAGGUUCCCUGGUCUCAGUCCCGAUCCUUCCCGACCCACCCAGAGGACCCCCGAUUGAAGCCGUGGAACGGCUCACACCGGCACGUGCUGCACCUGCCCACUGUCUUCCAUCACCUGCCACACCUGCUGGCCAAGGAGAGCAGUCUGCAGCCCGCGGUGCGCGUGGGCCAGGGCCGCACCGGAGUGUCGGUGGUGAUGGGCAUCCCGAGCGUGCGGCGCGAGGUGCACUCGUACCUGACUGACACUCUUCACUCGCUCAUCUCCGAGCUGAGCCCGC